rnacentral:rRNA from 1 species
AAUAUUGGACAAUGGGGGCAACCGUGAUCCAGCCAUGCCGCGUGUGUGUAGAAGGUCUUCGGAUUGUAAAGCACUGUAAGAUGGGAGGAAGGGCUUUAGGUAAUGACCCUGAAGGUUGGACGUUACCAACAGAAUAAUAACCGGUAACCGCUGUGCCACUAGCCGGAGUAAUACAGAGGGUGCAAGCGUUAAUCGGAAUAACUGGGCGUAAAGCGCGCGUAGGUGGUUCAGUAAGCUGGGUGUUAAAUCCCCGGGCUUAACCUGGGAACUGCUUUCAUAACUGCUGAGCUAGAGUACGGUAGAGGGUAGUGGAAUUUCCUGUGUAGCGGUGAAAUGCGUAGAUAUAGGAAGGAACACCAGUGGCGAAGGCGACUACCUGGACUGAUACUGACACUGAGGUGCGAAAGCGUGGGGAGCAAAC